AGACCGAUAGCGAACAAGUAGAGUGAUCGAAAGAUGAAAAGCACUUUGGAAAGAGAGUCAAACAGCACGUGAAAUUGUUGAAAGGGAAGCGCUUGCAGCCAGACUUGCUUGCAGUUGCUCAUCCGGGCUUUUGCCCGGUGCACUCUUCUGCAGGCAGGCCAGCAUCAGUUUGGGCGGUGGGAUAAAGGUCUCUGUCACGUACCUCUCUUCGGGGAGGCCUUAUAGGGGAGGCGACAUACCACCAGCCUGGACUGAGGUCCGCGCAUCUGCUAGGAUGCUGGCGUAAUGGCUGUAAGCGGCCCGUCUUGAAACACGGACCAAG
rnacentral:rRNA from 1 species